AUUGAACGCUGGCGGCAGGCCUAACACAUGCAAGUCGAACGAGUGGCGGACGGGUGAGUAAUGUCUGGGAAACUGCCCGAUGGAGGGGGAUAACUACUGGAAACGGUAGCUAAUACCGCAUACCAUCGGAUGUGCCCAGAUGGGAUUAGCUAGUAGGUGGGGUAACGGGUCACCUAGGCGACGAUCCGUAGCGUGUCUGAGAGGAUGACCAGCAACACUGGAACUGUGACACUGUCCAGACUCCUACGGGAGGCAGCAGUGGGGAAUAUUGCACAAUGGGCGCAAGCCUGAUACAGCCAUGCCGCGUGUAUGAAGAAGGCCUUCGGGUUGUAAAGUACUGUCAGCGAGGAGGCGUUACUCACAGAUGAAGCACCGGCUAACUCCGUGCCAGCAGCCGCGGUAAUAC
rnacentral:rRNA from 1 species